CGCACUGCGCCUCGGGACACAGGACUUGGCUGGCUUCCUAUCCCAAGAACCCUGAGACCUUGUACAGGAGGACCUGAAUAUGAACAGUGAGUUUAUCCUCUAAAUGCUGGUCGGACCUGCUGCCCAGACUGUCUUAACUGCCACCCUGGCAAUGAUGAGACACAAAUGUGAAAUGUGAAACUUGUUCACUAACAGGAAGUGCAGCUCUCUGAAGCUGUCACCACCAGGCAUGUACUCUCACUUGGUAGAAUUCACUGGAAACCAGGUUUUGUGGAGGUACACACCUCCAAUCUGUGUAGCUACACACCUCCAAUCUGUGCAGCUGCAGCUGCUGUGUCUCUUCCUACAGGAGGAAGGGGAAUUUGGGAGGCAUAGGCUGGGAGGAACCCAUCAAGGGUCACAUCCUCCCACUGACAACAGGAGUGACCCUUAACCUGUCACUCCUGAACCCCGGUGAAAGAGUAGAAGGGAGAAAAAGGAGGAAGUGUCAACAGCACAAAGGUACAGUCUUAUUCUCUGUGGUGUUCACUCCAACCUGCCACUGUGUUCUGCCAGAGAAUGCAGAGCGAGAGCCAAGUUUUAGUAGUUCCUGAAAAUCCAAGUAUUUGUUUCUUCUGAUGCAACUAAGAGAAGAGGGGAUAGGGCCAGGGUACAAUCUGUGUUUACUCCUGGGGACCAGUUGUGCUUUGGGCGAACUUGACAACUGUUGGACUGCAGAAACCUUCCCCAUGCCCUGUAUCCGCACUCAGAACAUAAUCAAAUUUCUGAAGAUGCCCAGACUUUGUUACAUUAACCUCCAGUUUCCCCUCAAGAAUUGUAUGGGUGCAAGAGUUUUCUUUUGCUCUCCCUUUCUUCUUACUACAAACACCCCAAACCACACUCAGGAAUUGCAUGGCCACUCCAAAACCUCGCCCAGACCCCAAUUCUCUGCCAUCUGCAAGCUUGGCCCUUUCUGACUGGCUCAGACAAAUUUGAUCUCAAGAAAAGAACUCACAGGGGCAGUCCUCUCCCUAUGGAGGAUCUCUCUGGGACGAGAAAAUGAACCAGGGACUGAUGGCCUAAGCCACAUUCCAUCUGGAAAAUUUCUCACUGUUUGCCAACAGAGGGCAUGGCUGAGAAAGACUGUCCUAGCUCAGCAGGGAGCUUUGCAGGACCUGACUGACCUUCUCCUCUCCAUACCUGUUGGAGGUUUAAUCCUCUCCAUGUCCUGAUGUAGGUUUAACUUCUCAGAAAGGUACAUGCUGUACUUCACUUGACUUUCAUCCAUGUGAUCUGGUGAAGAUAGAAACCGCCAUCUAUCCACAUUUAUUUUCAACUUCUGUUCAUUUCACUGUGUCCUCAACUCCCUCCUGACCUCUUCUAGGAAUUUGUUCCCCAGGGCCCCAAGCUGCAGUUAGCCGGCUUCACCUGAACCUGCGCUUUGGCUUUGAGUUCUCGGUGAUGUUUAACUUUGUGGUGCUAACUUUGCGAUAUUUAACUUGCACAUGCAGAUGCAAGGCGCUUGCUUCAAAGCCCACUGGACUCACAUAGUUGAUUUUCUUCUUCAGCAUCACCUAAACUCUCCAGGUCCAAGCCGAGGAUUGUUCCCAACCGUUGGCUGCAUUUUGUCUCAGCCUGUCUUGCACAUGACUUACCUUUCCAAGAAGAAGCACAUCCCCAAAGUCUACUGUGGGCUGGCCUACAGCCUUGGAGUAGGAUCUCGAAGGAGGAAGAAGUUCUGGGAAAAAGAAGAACUGAAGACAGGAAGUGGCUGGAAUUGGGGGGGAACAGAAUAGUCUUACCCAGUUAGUAUGUUUGAGUAUUGACUUACCACGUCAUGUUUGCCACAACUGCCCAUCGCCUUGUCAUUUUCCCAACAGCAGGUACCUAGUCCAAAGUGUUCCUUAAAUGUCAGACUUCUGAAACAUAUUUGUGCCCAGAAGUGGCUCACAUCAGAAUGAGACAGGCUCCUGGACCAUCAAACUGAAAAGCAUGACCUUGCUUGAGAUAUGCGUUACUAACUGUAGAGAAAAAAAGUAUAUUUAUAGCAUAUAAAGAAACAGUUGUGAAAUAUGACUGAGAAUGCAAAAAAGCAAUAGCGCAUUAAUAUAAAUAGAAAAAAAUCUUGAAGAUUUUGAUUUGUUAUUCACUUUAAAGAAAAGCUAAUUGGCUAGUAAGUUGCAGGCCUUAAAUUAUUUGAGGGUUAUUUGACUCCAAACACUUUUCCAUUCUUUAAAUUUAAAAACAAUCAAGGACCUGCUCUAUAGAAUAGGGAACUCUACCCAAUAUUCUGUGAUAACCUAUGUGGGAGAAGAAUCUGAAAAAUAAUGGAUAUGGGUAUAUGUAUGAGAAUAACUGAAUCACUUUGUUGUGAUUAUCACAGAAAUUAUCACGACUUUGUAAAUCAACUACAAUAAAACAUUUUUAAAUGAACAAAAAAUACAGAAAAAAAACAGCAAAAGAAUCCCUACGUAAAAUUUCAUAAAGCCCUUACCACAAUUGAAAUAGUGACCAUAUCUACCACCUCCAAAAAUUUCUUUAUUCCCCUUUAUGUUGCUUUCAUCUCUAUAGAUCCCUGUCCCUACCUAUCCCUAGGCAACCACUGAUCUGCUUUCCCUCACUAUGAAUUAGUGUGAAUUUUUUUGAAUUUUAUAUAAAUGGAAUCCUAUGCUAUAUUCUCUUUUUGUUGUCUUUUUUAACUGGUCAUAAUUAUUUUGAGAUUUUUUUUCAUGAUAUAUUUAAAGCAAUAAAAGAUUUCUUUUUGUUGCUGCGCAAUGCCAUUGUAUGGCUAUUUGGGAUGUUUUUGGUUCUUGACCAUUACAAAUAAAACUGCUAUUAAU
ensembl:lncRNA